UCAUGGUUUGUCGGGGCCCCCAGAACCAGAGUCUAAGCUCAGUGGAACCAGCAUCACCAUCACCAGGUUGUUGCAACCAGCAAGACACAUGUCCUGGAAGUGGGUGAUAAUCAAAUCCAAAACGGUUUCCAAAUGUCACAGUGUCAGAAUCUCAUCAAUCUGCCUUCACGUGCAAACAGGACUUUGGACUUCCUCCAAAGAGAAGAAUCAAAAAAUCAUGUACUGUACAA